rnacentral:tRNA from 1 species
ACCUCAUUAGCUCAGUGGUUAGAGCACUGGUCUUGUAAACCAGUGGUCUGGAGUUCAAUUCUCUGAUGGGGCU